GUUGAUCAGAUGAUCGCGGCACGGCGUGGCCGGGCCGAGGAAAGUCCGCACUCCUUAGAGCAAGAUGCCGGAUAACGUCCGGGGCGGGGCAACUUGCCGGAAAAGGGCCACAGAAAAUAGACCGCCUCGCAAGAGGUAAGGGUGAAAAGGUGGUGUAAGAGACCACCGGCGUAAGUGGUAACACUGCGGCCGGGUAACCCCCAUCUGGAGCAAGGCCAAGCAGGGGCGAAGCAUGACGCGUUCAUGCGGGGAUCUGCUCGAUCCCAUUGAGCUCCGGGUAGGCUGCUAGAGUCGUACGGUAACGUGCGUCCAAGAGAGAUGGUCAUCUCAGACGGGAGACUCGAGAAACUUCCUCUGAACAGAAUGCGGCUUAUAGAUC
rnacentral:RNase_P_RNA from 1 species